AUUGAACGCUGGCGGCAGGCCUAACACAUGCAAGUCGAACGGUAGCACAGGAGAGCUUGCUCUCUGGGUGACGAGUGGCGGACGGGUGAGUAAGGCAUGGGGAGCUGCCCAAUCGAGGGGGAUACCAGCUGGAAACGGCUGCUAAUACCGCAUACGCCCUGAGGGGGAAAGGUGGGGACCUUUUGGCCUACCGCGAUUGGAUGCACCCAUGUGGGAUUAGCUAGUUGGUGAGGUAACGGCUCACCAAGGCGACGAUCUCUAGCUGGUCUGAGGGGAUGACCAGCCACACUGGAACUGAGACACGGUCCAGACUCCUACGGGAGGCAGCAGUGGGGAAUAUUGCACAAUGGGGGAAACCCUGAUGCAGCCAUGCCGCGUGUGUGAAGAAGGCCUUCGGGUUGUAAAGCACUUUCAGUGGGGAGGAAGGGGCGAUGCCUAAUACGCAUUGUCAUUGACGUUACCCACAGAAGAAGCACCGGCUAACUCCGUGCCAGCCGCCGCAGUAACAC
rnacentral:rRNA from 1 species